rnacentral:rRNA from 1 species
AUUGAACGCUGGCGGCAGGCCUAACACAUGCAAGUCGAACGGUAACAGGAAGAAGCUUGCUUCUUUGCUGACGAGUGGCGGAAGGGUGAGUAAUGUCUGGGAAACUGCCGGAUGGAGGGGGAUAAGUACUGGAAACGGUAGCUAAUACCGCAUAACGUCGCAAGACCAAAGAGGGGGACCUUCGGGCCUCUUGACAUGGGAUGUGCCCAGAUGGGAUUAGCUAGUAGGUGGGGUAACGGCUCACCUAGGCGACGAUCCCUAGCUGGUCUGAGAGGAUGACCAGCCACACUGGAACUGAGACACGGUCCAUACUCCUACGGGAGGCAGCAGUGGGGAAUAUUGCACAAUGGGCGCAAGCCUGAUGCAGCCAUGCCGCGUGUAUGAAGAAGGCCUUCGGGUUGUAAAGUACUUUCAGCGGGGAGGAAGGGAUUAAAGUUAAUACCUUUGCUCAUUGACGUUACCCGCAGAACAAGCACCGGCUAACUCCGUG